GGGACCCUGUGAUUGUGCAAGGGGAAGUCACGAACACCGCACAGUCCUGCAAGCUUCUUAGAGUCCUUGUCGUCACGAACACCGCACAGUCCUGCAAGCUUCUUAGAGUCCUUGUCGUCACGAACACCGCACGGUCCUGCAAGCUUCUUAGAGUCCUUGUCGUCACGAACACCGCACGGUCCCGCAAGCUCCUUAGAGUCCUUGUCGCCAGCCCAGGGCCCUUGGCUCACUUCUGAGGAGGUGAAUGGAAGCCACGGUCUUCCCGCCUUUAGUUCUGCGAACAGGGUCCACUGACCCCACCCGUCUCCUGGGAGCUGCCAGGUGGAAGAUGAUCACCUGUUUCUUCCUCGAAAGCCCUGGGCCUGAAGAGCUAUGCAGUGGGGACGGUGAGUUCUGCUCUCUCAGAGAUGCUCCAGGUCGUGCGACUCAGCACAAUGGUCAUAGCCUCCCACCAGUGGGCACCUUUGUCUUGGGGUCUGUGGUAAGAGAAGCCACAUGAGACCACCAUAUUCCACCUCUGAGCUCUCCAGCAAGGCCUCCUCCCAUCCCACCAAUGCAGGCCUCUGCCACACUGUGUCCUCCCUGCCCAGGGUCAGCAGUGGCCCUGGUCUCGGGCCAUCCUGAUCUCCAGUCUGUGGCUGGUCAUCUUCCAGCACAAAUACCAAGCGUGCGCUGCUCCUGAGUUCCAAAGACUUCCCAUUGUCCCCAGCAGCACACCCCAGGGGCGCACAAAAUGUUUCCAGGAAAAUAUUCAGCUUUGCUACUACUCAGCAGACGGGGGGACCGUGGCACCCCCGGCCUCAGCCAGACCGUCCGCUGCACACCUGCAUGGCACUGACUGAACAUGACGUGUCCGAUCAACACGGGGCCAUGCCUCCGAGAACGCGACUGCAGCUCUCCCUGCACCUCUGUCCCAUCUUCAGCUACAGAACCGGAGCUCCAUACGCGGGCCUGGGGGUCAUCUGAAUGUAAACUUCACUUUAGAGUCACCAUACUCUCAUAAUCUACACUGUUUUAAUAAAAUCUUAGUAAUUCUCUGUAAGGAGAUGACGAGUGACCAUGGAAAUAUUUCAUCUCGUGCAGGGUCUCAUUGUUU
rnacentral:lncRNA from 1 species